GCAAGACGAACCUGAGGAAAUCGACAUUCGGAUGUUUUGUGAAGCAGAAUUCGAGAACCAGAUCCAUCAAGUGAACUGCCAUCUGCCAGAGCCACUGACUGGAGGUUAUAAUGCUGGGCAACACGGUGAGCAGCCAGUCUAAGAUAAGAAGUUGGAAGUGACUGAAAUUCCAGCUGUUGUUGAGUAGGAUCACGAAUGAACUUCUCAACAUCUUGUUCCAUCCGCAAAAUAGCCAGCCGUUCCCGAGGC
rnacentral:misc_RNA from 1 species